GAUGAAGAACGUAGCGAAAUGCGAUAAGUAAUGUGAAUUGCAGAAUUCAGUGAAUCAUCGAGUCUUUGAACGCACAUUGCGCCCCCUGGUAUUCCGGGGGGCAUGCCUGUCCGAGCGUCAUUGCUGCCCUCAAGCACGGCUUGCGUGUUGGGCCUCCGUCCUCCUCCCGGGGGACGGGCCCGAAAGGCAGCGGCGGCACCGCGUCCGGUCCUCGAGCGUAUGGGGCUUCGUCACCCGCUCUUGUAGGCCCGGCCGGCGCUUGCCGACACAUCAAUCUUUUUUCCAGGUUGACCUCGGAUCAGGUAGGGAUACCCGCUGAACUUAAGCAUAUCAAUAAGCGGAGGA
rnacentral:misc_RNA from 1 species